AAAUUGAAGAGUUUGAUCAUGGCUCAGAUUGAACGCUGGCGGCAGGCCUAACACAUGCAAGUCGAACGGUAGCACAGAGAGCUUGCUCUCGGGUGACGAGUGGCGGACGGGUGAGUAAUGUCUGGGAAACUGC
rnacentral:rRNA from 1 species